rnacentral:rRNA from 1 species
UACGUAGGGCGCAAGCGUUAUCCGGAAUUAUUGGGCGUAAAGAGCUCGUAGGCGGUUUGUCGCGUCUGCCGUGAAAGUCCGGGGCUCAACUCCGGAUCUGCGGUGGGUACGGGCAGACUAGAGUGAUGUAGGGGAGACUGGAAUUCCUGGUGUAGCGGUGAAAUGCGCAGAUAUCAGGAGGAACACCGGUGGCGAAGGCGGGUCUCUGGGCCGUUACUGACGCUGAGGAGCGAAAGCGUGGGGAGCGAACAGG